UAGGGAGGGUGCGAGCGUUGUUCGGAAUCAUUGGGCGUAAAGCGCGUGUAGGCGGCUUGGUAAGUCGGGUGUGAAAUCCCGGGGCCCAACCCCGGAACUGCAUUCGAAACUGCCUCGCUAGAGUCCCGGAGAGGAAGGCGGAAUUCCCGGUGUAGAGGUGAAAUUCGUAGAUAUCGGGAGGAACACCAGCGGCGAAGGCGGCCUUCUGGACGGUGACUGACGCUGAGACGCGACAGCGUGGGGAGCAAACAGG
rnacentral:rRNA from 1 species